rnacentral:siRNA from 1 species
CGACCCUCAGUAGGAGCUUAG